CGAUGACUGCUCGCAGGGCCAGAGUUGCCCACCGCCGUGAGCUGACAGGUCCAUGCUGGAGAGUGGGAGAAAGGUCCCUGCUGGUUGCCGUGUCCUCAGUGGGCAGAGAGCUCUGACCUUGGCCAGAUGGGCUGGUGAGUAUUGAAUCAAUCCCUGCCUCCUUGUGAACAAGUUGUUUGAAGGAGUCAUCGGCAGGGACAGCUUUUAACUGGCUUUAGUUCAGUUUCUUUUUCACAGGUUUCUGGCUGUUUUGAUCCUGACAUCGCCAAACCCUCAAGUUUGCUGAAUUAGGGAUCUUACCUGUAUGACCCAUGAAAUGUCCUGGAAAGCUGGUCGAUGUCUUCGUGCUCCUGUUGUGUUCAUUUGGGCUGUGCUUCAGGCUUCUCUCCCUGGGCUCUUGCAGUUGCUGUAUCUCUUGGAUGCUGUGCAGAACGGAAUCAGGCAGCCAAACCUCAGGUUCACCUUCUCCCUGACCCUCUAUGCUGCUCGUGUGGCACAGCAGAUCCUGAAGCCAGAUGUUUCUGUAUUCCUGACUUCCCUUCAUGUCUGGGGACACGUGGCUUGGAGCACAGGAGCCAGAUUUGUCACUUAGCUGUGUCAGGUAGAAGCCCAGGAAAGAUGUCAAAAAAACCCGAGAGAUGUCACAGUGCAUACGUGGAGCAGAGAUGCUGAAAAGUGGCAAAGCUGAAUAGCCUCGCUCAGCUUCAGUCCUGUGCAGAUCAUUGAAGGUGAAGAAAGAAGCAGCAGAGUAUUGCUGGCCAGGGGCUUAUGUACAAAUUACAAACAGGAUGAGACUGCUGGGGAACGUGUCUCAAGCUGUUUAUUAUCCAGCAUCACUCUCAUUCCAUGGGUAUGACAAUGGGAAGAUGCCAGCAGCUCAUGUCCUCGACAGCAGACUAAAAACUCAGUGUAACAACCCACUUAAAAGUUUUUUGACCAGUCACACAAAGCAAAAGCACAUUGACAGUAGCUCUAUCCAACCACUGUAAGCACAUGUACCUUUUGUUAAAACAGUGCUUGCUUAUUUCGAAUACAAUACCUGCUUGUAAGCAUUAAAAUACAAUGCACAGAGCUCCAUUAUUAAGCUUAGAACUUCCUAAUAUCUUGCUAGAUAUAUUUUUCUGUAGCUUAGGGA